AACGAACGCUGGCGGCAUGCCUAACACAUGCAAGUCGAACGAGAUCUUCGGGUCUAGUGGCGCACGGGUGCGUAACGCGUGGGAAUCUGCCCUUUGGUUCGGAAUAACAGUUGGAAACGACUGCUAAUACCGGAUGAUGACGAAAGUCCAAAGAUUUAUCGCCAGAGGAUGAGCCCGCGUAGGAUUAGUUAGUUGGUGUGGUAAAGGCGCACCAAGGCGACGAUCCUUAGCUGGUCUGAGAGGAUGAUCAGCUACACUGGGACUGAGACACGGCCCAGACUCCUACGGGAGGCAGCAGUGGGGAAUAUUGGACAAUGGGCGAAAGCCUGAUCCAGCAAUGCCGCGUGAGUGAUGAAGGCCUUAGGGUUGUAAAGCUCUUUUACCCGGGAUGAUAAUGACAGUACCGGGAGAAUAAGCUCCGGCUAACUCCGUGCCAGCCGCCGCAGUAA
rnacentral:rRNA from 1 species